GCUGGAUACAAAUGCCCUGUACGACCUAAGGGCCUCCACAGCAGGAACAAAAGGAAUUUUGUCUGAGAUUUUAGCAGAAAAGUAAUUUUUGAAAUCUAUUCUUGGAUUUAGACGUUUAUUGGAUUUCAAAGCUUCUUGCUGCCCAGGAGCUUGUGAAUACGGUCAAAGGUCCAUGAAAUUUCCAAAGUGGUACCACAGCAGAUGAACCUGAAUGCAAACUGGAGGGACCAACAGAGUCCAGCCUAUAGACAUAAAUCCUUAACUACACCUAGAUCUCACUGUCUUUUCCAAUGGUCAAAAGAGGGGCUCUUGAAAUGGCUCCAUUGUUUUAUAGAAACAAGGUCUUCCUAAGAAGUCUUUUUCUCCUAUCUUUUUCUUACCCAAAAUAAAGGAAUGGCCCAAAACCUCAAGCCAAGCUUACCAGCUAUAAACAACUUGGUGGUCAGCAGCCAAAAGAAGAGUGGACAUGCCAUGGUCAUGUGGCACGUACCCUAUACAAGCUUCACAGAGAAGAAUGGAAGCACUUGAUUGUAAGACAGAGGGUGAGAUGUGAGAGGAAUAUUAACCUUCACUUUCCACAGGCAUUUUUUUCUGCAAAUGGCACCAGCUUUUGGACUUAAAAUUUUAUUCCAAAUACUAUUUAGAUGCAUCAGGGCCCUCAAAAUAUGGAUUUCAAGUUGGAGACAUCAAAGUGCAUUAUUUACUAAAACCACUGCAGCUUUUUUCCCCUCUCCUUUCACAAGAUGCUAUUGUAAAUUCAGGCUGCUUUAAUCUCUGUGAUUAAAAAAAAAAAGGAAGAAAGAAAAAAAAAGUGCUGCUUGAAGAGGAACUGAACUCACAAUCUGGGAGCUAGAAAGUAAAUAUUACCCAGAGAGUACCUCACUUUAAUUACUGGCCUGAACAUUGGUUUCAAUUUACAUGUAUUUUAAUUAGCCACAGAAGGGUUCACCUAUUACUCUCUGAAUACAAAACUUAAAAAGCAAACAGAAAA
rnacentral:lncRNA from 1 species